GCAAGUUCUAAAAUGACUUCGCUUGGUGCCAACCUGAGUUCAAUCAUAAUAAAGGAAAGCGGCAACUACUUUGUCUAUGCUCAGCUAUACUUUCAAGUUCCAUUCAACUCAAAGCUGGACAAGUUCGACCAGAGCUACUUGGCAUUUUUCGUUUGUCGAAUAUCCAAAGCCACAACGAGUAUCUUGAUGCGAGCCGUGGCAUCAAACGGCUUCCAAGGGAAGAAGAAUGAAGCAAGGCAACAACAUCCUAGUCCAGAAUGAAUGCAAUCGACAGCGUAUUGCAAUAUUGAUAACAUAGUAAACACCGUCUGUGUAGAAAACUUCGACGACACUAAAGAUUGUUUCGACCAGGCAGAAAGCGAGCUAGAGCCAAGUCGGAAGCGUGUUCGGAUGGAAAGACACACCCCGUCUUCUGAAAGAAAAAGAUGAGGAACAGGAGACUGUUUUUCUCUGUGCGCGCUCGAAAGUGUCUAAAUAAAAUAGACAAAAUCCAUACCGUUUCAAUCUCCCGCCAAAAUUACAUCGCCGCGCGCCUCCACAAGCGCUCUCAUUAAAUCUAAAGAAAUAACGCCACAAGAAAAAAAGCGUCGCAUUAAAACAAAAGGUGGCCAAUUCAUGAAAUCCCGGAAUGUUGUUGCGUAUGCCUAUCAGGAAAACAUCAACGAAGUUAUCGGCAAUUUGGCAUCAAUUUGUUGUGGUUGGGGCAACGGAUGUGAUCUUCUCAAGACUGGAGGCCAAAGAAGCAUUCAACACGACUCUUUCGAAACAAAGCCAGUCAAUUCUCCUAAAAUCCAUUCGAAUGCCAGAUUGGGCCUAUCUUCUUUUGAGAAUCAGAACAAAAAUUUCAGAUGCUUUCAGAUGGAAGACCCUAUACUUAACCUUACCCAACUUGGAUCACCUAGGAAAACCACAGACUUCGCCAUUCUUCCAACAAAGAACCAAAUUUGUGCAAUGAAAGUGGUGCUGUUUGGCGCUACUUACGACACUGUUGGAACUAGUGAAUUACCUGAUGGGCUCCUAGAUGCACAAGUAAACCUAGUUUCUGUGUUGGUAUGGGGUAUUCGGGAAAUGCGAUUGCAUCAAGUAGAUGGCAGUGGCAACGACCGAACGCUACAUUUCAAUUUCAAACUGGAUGUAGACCUUUUUGGGGUAAAGAACUGAUAUCGUUCGGUGUGGUAUGCAUGCAGAUGAAGCUGGAGUCACAUCUCGCAAAAGACAAAUGUCCAUUUUUGCAUUUUGAUUCUGAAAUGAAUAUUCAAGAAGAGCUCCUUUCUUUUUUACAGCGCAAAUGGGCUUCGAGUGAAGAAGUAUUGAUUACACAAGUUAAUCUUAGAUGCCUUACAAACAAGUGUCUAUUGUGAAUGUGGAGCGAAAGGUGAAUGAGUCACGGCCUGCACUGGUGCACUUAACCGGGCAUCACAGCGACCGGGGAAAAUUGAAUGAUGUGCUGGAUAUUUAGAAAACGGCAAGUUCUAAAAUG
rnacentral:lncRNA from 1 species